rnacentral:lncRNA from 1 species
GGCUGCAAAAGGGUGGUGGAGGGAGGGUUCGUUUUGGGGCGAAUCGGGGCGUUUCUGAGCUCCGCCGGUGACCUCGUUUCCUGCCCGCAGGAAGCGCCCGGGAGCCUCCGCCAGCGCCGGCCGUCGGGGGGGCGCCCCCCACCGCGGGCCCAACAUGGAGCCGGGGGGCUCGAACCCGCUGCAGGACCCGGCGGACGCCAUGACGUCGGACGACUUCGACAUCGUCAUCGAGGCCAUGCUGGAGGCGCCCUACAAGAAGGAGGAGGUGAGGGGGGGGCGGGGGGAGGCGCCGCGCCGCCGGGGUUGUUUUGGGGUCGAUCCGGCCGCUUUUGGGGCCAGCUCCCGAGGCUCGCGGGACCCUCGGAGAGGCCCGGGGUCGUCCUUGGGCGUUUCGGGGUCGUUCCUAGGGAUUUGGGGUCCCUUCGAAGCGUUUUGGAGUCCUUUUAGGAGAAUUAAGGUCCCUUAGAAAGCACUUGGGUCAGCUUUAAGCCUACGCAUCAUUCUUAGGAAUUUGGGGCUAUUUUAAGUGUUUUUAGGGUCAUUUCAGGAACAUUGAGAUCUUUUAGACGAGACUUGGAUCAUUUAUAGGUGUUUGGGGUCAUUCCUAGGGAUUUGGGGCCACUUUGAGGUUUUUUGGGGUCAUUUCAGGAGCACUGAGGUCCCUUAAAGGGACUUGGAUCAUUUUUAGGUGUUUCAAUUGUUCUUAUGGAUUUAGGGUCACUUAAAGGAUUUUUGGGGUUAGUUUAGGAGAACCGGGGUCAUUUAGAGGGAGUUUGGGUCAUUUUUAGAUGUUUUGGAGUUAUUCUUAGGAAUUGGGGGCCACUUCAAGGGUUUUGGGGUUAUUUCAGGAGAAUUGAGAUCUUUUAGAAGGGACUUGGAUCAUCUUUAGGUGUUUGGGGUGAUUUAGACGGAUUUGGGGCCACUUCAAGGUUUUUUUGGGUCAUUUUAGGAGCGUUGAGGUUCUUGAGAACAGACUUGGAUCUUGUUCAAGUGUUUGGGUCAUUCCUAGGGAUUUGGGGCCAUUUCAAGGUUUUUUGGGAUCAUUUCAGGAGCACUGAAAUCCUUUAGAAAGGACUUGGAUCAUUUUUAGAUGUUUGGGGUGAUUUAAAGGGAUUUGGGACCAUUUCAUGUUUUUUUGGGGUCGUUUCAGGAAGAUUGAGAUCCAUUAGCAGGGACUUGGAUCAUCUUUAAAUAUUUGGGUCAUUCUUAGGGUUUUGUCGCCACUUUGAGCAUUUUUGGGGUUAUUUUAAGAGCAUUGAGAUCUUUUAGAAGAGUUUUGGAUCAUCUUCAAGUGUUUGGGUCAUUUUUGUGGUUUUGGGGUUAUUUAAAGGAUUUUGGGGGUUAGUUCAGGAGAUCCGGGGCCAUUUAGAGGGAGUUUGGGUCAUUUUUAGGCGCUUGGGGAUUAUUCUUAGGAAUCGGGGGCCACUUCAAGGAUUUUUGGGGUCGUUUUAGGAGAAUUGAUGUCC